rnacentral:rRNA from 1 species
CUGUGUUCGCACAUGCUCCCGUCUUUUCCUUUCCAACAGGGGAGCAGCGAGUGUUGAAAUAUUUAAAGAAUAUUAAAGGUGCCCAGCCUCCGGCAUCAAGAAUAAAGAUAACGAUGUUCAAAGUCACUAGUUUACGAUAUUCGAGCGUACAAUAAGAGGUUAAUCUUUUUAUAUUUCUUACUACGAUGUUCAAGUUCGACCGGAUACACAGGAUCACACAAGGUGCAAGGAGAAAGGUAUAUUGCAUAAGACUUGUAAUCUACGAAAGUUUUUUACACAGCGCGUUCAAGUUCAUAUUGACGACGUCCUCAAGUUUUUAGACUUGUCAAAUUCGAGUUGGGUUAAAGUUCUUGACAAAGGAAGUAUUUAACAAAAAUACAAUCAAACAACAAUACCUGUCAUGUCCACGUUUAAUAACACAUCAUGUACACGGGUAACUACACAAACUUAGGGAAGUCAAGUAAAACUAAGGAUGUCCACCAAGUUGCACAGCUCGCCAUCGUCGGGAACGAGGGUUACCAACGGGCGCGUUCCUCCUAUGUUUCUACGAUGUAACGACCUCCUCGUCAUCGUACAUCAUCGAUCGACUUCUUUUCCUAGGCGUGUUGGUGGCGGGACGAGACCGGUACGAUGUGGUGGUGACCGUGCAGGUGGUACCAACGACCGUCGGCAGGUCCAACUCGUGACUACCCUCAGGAACCGCACGAAGUUGCUGUGAGAGAGUAUAGUUAGAGAGAGAAAGAAACGAGGACGAUAAUUUUACGCAUCUACACGACGAAACGAUUAACUCAUCAACCCUUCUA